rnacentral:rRNA from 1 species
AUUGAACGCUGGCGGCAUGCCUUACACAUGCAAGUCGAACGGCAGCACGGGUGCUUGCACCUGGUGGCGAGUGGCGAACGGGUGAGUAAUACAUCGGAACAUGUCCUGUAGUGGGGGAUAGCCCGGCGAAAGCCGGAUUAAUACCGCAUACGAUCUACGGAUGAAAGCGGGGGACCUUCGGGCCUCGCGCUAUAGGGUUGGCCGAUGGCUGAUUGGCUCGUUGGUGGGGUAAAGGCCUACCAAGGCGACGAUCAGUAGCUGGUCUGAGAGGACGACCAGCCACACUGGGACUGAGACACGGCCCAGACUCCUGCGGGAGGCAGCAGUGGGGAAUUUUGGACAAUGGGCGAAAGCCUGAUCCAGCAAUGCCGCGUGUGUGAAGAAGGCCUUCGGGUUGUAAAGCACUUUUGUCCGGAAAGAAAUCCUUGGCCCUAAUACGGUCGGGGGAUGACGGUACCGGAAGAAUAAGCACCGGCUAACUACGUG